GUCUUAUUGAAAAUAAUUUUAAGUCAAUCUGCCCAAUGAGUAAUUAAAUGGCUGCAGUAUAAUUACCUGUACAAAGGUAGCAUAAUCAAUUGGUUUUUAAAUGAAAUCUGGAAUGAAGGGAUUAAUGAAAUAUAUACUGUCUCAAAUAUAUAAUAUAAAUUUAAAUUUUUAAUAAAAAUGUUAAAAUUUUUUUAUGGGACGAUAAGACCCUAUAGAAUUUUAUAUAAAUUUAUUUUUAUAAUUAAUAUAAUUAUUAAAUUUAUAUUUAAUUGGGAGGAUUAUUAAAUUUAAUAAACUUUAAUUAAAAUAAACUUUAAUUAAAGAAAAAUAUUUGAUCUUUAAUUUAAAAUUAUUAGAAUAAAUUCCCUUAGGGAUAACAGCGUUAUAUUUUUUUAUAGAUCUCAUAGAAAAAAAUGAUUGCGACCUCGAUGUUGAAUUAAGAUAAAUUUUUAAUGAAGAAGUUAAAUAAUUAAGUCUGUUCGACUUUUAAAAUCUUACAUGAUUUGAGUUCANAUCGACGUAAGU
rnacentral:rRNA from 1 species